GCGGCCGUGGUCCAGCCUGGUUAAGACCCGGGCUCCCCGGGCCCGUGACGCGGGUUCGAAUCCCGCCGGCCGCACCA
rnacentral:tRNA from 1 species